rnacentral:rRNA from 1 species
UACGUAGGGUGCAGGCGUUAAUCGGAAUUACUGGGCGUAAAGCGUGCGCAGGCGGUUUCUUAAGUCAGAUGUGAAAGCCCCGGGCUUAACCUGGGAACUGCGUUUGAAACUGGGAGACUUGAGUGUGGCAGAGGGGGGUGGAAUUCCUGGUGUAGCGGUGAAAUGCGUAGAUAUCAGGAGGAACACCGGUGGCGAAGGCGGCUCUCUGGACCACAACUGACGCUGAGGCGCGAAAGCUAGGGGAGCAAACAGG